UACAGGGGGUGCAAACGUUGCUCGGAAUCAUUGGGCGUAAAGCGCACGUAGGCGGUUCGUUAUGUCGGAUGUGAAAGCCCUUGGCUUAACCGAGGAAGUGCACUCGAAACUGCAUAGCUAGAGUCCUGGAGAGGAAGGUGGAAUGCUUGGUGUAGAGGUGAAAUUCGUAGAUAUCAAGCGGAACACCGGUGGCGAAGGCGGCCUUCUGGACAGUGACUGACGCUGAGACGCGAAAGCGUGGGGGAGCAAACAGG
rnacentral:rRNA from 1 species